rnacentral:rRNA from 1 species
AUUGAACGCUGGCGGCAGGCCUAACACAUGCAAGUCGAGCGAGCGGCGGACGGGUGAGUAAUGCCUGGGCAUUUCCCAGUCGAGGGGGAUAACAGUUGAAAACGACUGCUAAUACCGCAUACGUCUGGUUUGCUCAGGUGGGAUUAGCUAGUUGGUUAGGUAAUGGCUCACCAAGGCGACGAUCCCUAGCUGGUCUGAGAGGAUGAUCGGCCACACUGGAACUGAGAAACGGUCCAGACUCCUACGGGAGGCAGCAGUGGGGAAUAUUGCGCAAUGGGCGAAACCCUGAUGCAGCCAUGCCGCGUGUGUGAAGAAGGCCUUCGGGUUGUAAAGCACUGUCAGCAAGGAGGCGUUACUCGCAGAGGAAGCACCGGCUAACUACGUGCCAGCCGCCGCGGUAAUUC